rnacentral:rRNA from 1 species
AGAGCGAACGCUGGCGGCAGGCCUAAUACAUGCAAGUCGAACGGAUCCUUCGGGAUUAGUGGCGGACGGGUGAGUAACACGUGGGAACGUGCCCUUUGGUUCAGAACAACUCAGGGAAACUUGAGCUAAUACUGGAUAAGCCCUCAUCCUUAAACAGAUGAGUGGGAAAGAUUUAUCGCCAUUGGAGCGGCCCGCGUCUGAUUAGCUAGUUGGUAGGGUAAAGGCCUACCAAGGCUUCGAUCAGUAGCUGGUCUGAGAGGAUGAUCAGCCACACUGGGACUGAGACACGGCCCAGACUCCUACGGAGGCAGCAGUAGGGAAUCUUGCGCAAUGGGCGAAAGCCUGACGCAGCCAUGCCGCGUGAAUGAUGAAGGUCUUAGGAUUGUAAAAAUUCUUUACAGCGGGGACGAAUAAUGACGGUACCCGCAGAAGAAGCCCGGCUAAACUUCGUGCCAGCAGCCGCGGU